UACGAAGGGGGCUAGCGUUGUUCGGAGUUACUGGGCGUAAAGGGCGCGUAGGCGGCCGGCCAAGUUGGGUGUGAAAGCCCGGGGCUCAACCCCGGAUGUGCACUCGAGACUGGUUGGCUUGAGGACGGGAGAGGAUGGUGGAAUUCCCAGUGUAGAGGUGAAAUUCGUAGAUAUUGGGAAGAACACCGGUGGCGAAGGCGGCCAUCUGGACCGUAUCUGACGCUGAGGCGCGAAAGCGUGGGGAGCAAACAGG
rnacentral:rRNA from 1 species